rnacentral:rRNA from 1 species
CGAAAGCCUGACGGAGCAACGCCGCGUGGGGGAAGAAGGUUCUUGGAUUGUAAACCCCUUUUCUCAGGGAAGAAGAUCUGACGGUACCUGAGGAAUCAGCCUCGGCUAACUCCGUGCCAGCAGCCGCGGUAAUACGGAGGAGGCAAGCGUUAUUCGGAAUUACUGGGCGUAAAGCGUCCGUAGGGGGCUCGUCAAGUCUGCUGUCAAAGCUCGGAGCUCAACUCCGACCCGGCAGUGGAAACUGGGGAGCUAGAGGGCGGCAGGGGCAGAAGGAAUUCCCGGUGUAGCGGUGAAAUGCGUAGAUAUCGGGAAGAACACCAGAGGCGAAAGCGCUCUACUGGACGGCAACUGACACUCAGGGACGAAAGCUAGGGGAGCG